rnacentral:lncRNA from 1 species
UCGCCUGCUGGCCCUUCGAGACGGCUUCGGAAUGGGCCAAAAGCAGGGAAAGGCGGUUGGAAGGACGCAGGAGAUUGGGGCUUGACAUGGUUUCUGUCUAAGAAGUGAUUGCUCCUCAAUGUAGUUCACUGUAGAGUUGGCCACGUCUGAAAUAAAAGCAAACAAGAAUAUGCAAUUUGAAGAAUGUUAAAUUUGUACUGCCAUUUUAAUCUGGAGGGGGGUAAUGUCAGGCAAACCAAUAGAAGUGACUACAGAUUGAGGAACGAAUAAAAA